CACGUAUUUAGCCGGAGCUUCUUAGUCAGGUACCGUCAUUUUCUUCCCUGCUGAUAGAGCUUUACAUACCGAAAUACUUCUUCACUCACGCGGCGUUGCUGCACCAGGGUUCCCCCCAUUGUGCAAUAUUCCCCACUGCUGCCUCCCGUAGGAGUUUGGGCCGUGUCUCAGUCCCAAUGUGGCCGUCCACUCUCUCAAGCCGGCUACUGAUCGUUGUCUUGGUAGGCCGUUACCCUGCCAACUAACUAAUCAGACGCGGGCCCAUCCUGUACCACCGGAGUUUUUCCUGCUGUACCGUGCGGCACUGUAGGCUUAUGCGGUAUUAGCAGCCGUUUCCAGCUUGUUCGUCCCCCUGUACAGGGCAGGUUACCCACGCGUUACUCACCCGUCCGCCACUCACGUCCUGCGCACUCUUCCCUCCGGAGCGUUCCGCCGCGCAGUCUUCGUUCGACUUGCAUGUGUUAGGCACGCCGCCAGCGUUCACUCCUGACGCCAGGACUACAAACUCUCUACG
rnacentral:rRNA from 1 species